AAUUCCUGUGUUUUUUGUCUGUUUUUCUUUUCCCCUUUCUGGGCCUUAACUCCUGAUACCUGCCUACUUCCUAAAAGUGUAGUGGGUGGGUAAGGUUUGUUUGGGGUUGUUUUGUUGUUGUUGUUUCUAAUUAUGUAAUUUCUGAAUGACUGCUCUAGUCUGAACUUGAUCUUUUUGGUCCGUGUUAUUAGUGUUGAAUUUUAAAAAUUUUGUAAUAUAAAAACAGGCUCUAAUCUGAGGAUACUGUUCAAGUAGUAUAGUUAACUGAUGUCAUCCUCAUCCCAGCAGCUCAUCUAUUAGAAUGAAGUUGAGGUCGUUCACUUUCAUGUUUCUGUAUUUGGGAAGGAUCUGGAGUUGAAUGUUUGAUGUAGUGGGAGUUCUUAGAGAUGGCAAACACUAAUGCUUGUCCAGUGCUCUGCCUCUGCAUCAUAGUUGGGAUUUAAUUGUCCCUUUCUAAUCAUAGUGUCAACAAUUUCUUAAUGAGGUAGGUAGCUAGCUAGUAUUGCUAAGUAGUUCUGCCAUUUAGGUAAGACCACAGAGACUCUCUAAACUGAGGACCUGACACCUACAGUAUAUUUGUGCUUUUUCUACAAAAUGAAACAAAUUUUUGCCUAAAGCUAGCUGGGGUAAUAGGAUGAUCACAAGUUGCAGUUUCUAGAACUAAAAUUAGAUUGAAAUCUUACCUGACCUAGAACAUCUUACUUCAGGCAUUCAGCAGCCUUCAGAAAGAAUAACCUUAUUUUGAGCUAGUUUUGUUGUUAGUUUACUGUGUCUCUUACUCAAUAAACAAGCAGAAUUUUUGUCCUGCCUUAUCCAGGUCUAAAAGAUGAGAAGUUGGAUCCGCUGAGUUAGUAUGUUUCCUUGGAAAAAAAAUUGUAAUUAAACUGAAGUUUGAUCCU
rnacentral:lncRNA from 1 species